GACGAACGCUGGCGGCGUGCUUAACACAUGCAAGUCGAACGGAAAGGCCCUGCUUUUGUGGGGUGCUCGAGUGGCGAACGGGUGAGUAACACGUGAGUAACCUGCCCUUGACUUUGGGAUAACUUCAGGAAACUGGGGCUAAUACCGGAUAGGAGCUCCUGCUGCAUGGUGGGGGUUGGAAAGUUUCGGCGGGUGGGGAUGGACUCGCGGCUUAUCAGCUUGUUGGUGGGGUAGUGGCUUACCAAGGCUUUGACGGGUAGCCGGCCUGAGAGGGUGAACGGCGACAAUGGGACUGAGAGAGGGACCAGACUCCUACGGGAGGCAACAGUGGGGAAUCUUGCACAGUGGGAGGAAGCCUGAUGAAGAGACGCUGCGUGCGGGAUGACGGCCUUCGGGUUGUAAACCGCUUUCGCCUAUGACGAAGCGUGAGUGACGGUAAUGGGUAAAGAAGCACCGGCUAACUACGUG
rnacentral:rRNA from 1 species